rnacentral:rRNA from 1 species
GACAGAGGGGGCAAGCGUUGCUCGGAAUCACUGGGCGUAAAGGGCGCGUAGGCGGGAUGGCAAGUCAGUCGUGAAAUCUCUCGGCUCAACCGAGAAACGUCGGCUGAUACUGCCGUUCUUGAGGGAUGCAGAGGAGACUGGAAUUCCCGGUGUAGCGGUGAAAUGUGUAGAGAUCGGGAGGAACACCGGUGGCGAAGGCGGGUCUCUGGGCAUCUCCUGACGCUGAGGCGCGAAAAGCGUGGGGAGCAAACGGGG